AUGCAGUCGAACGAUGAAGCCCUUCGGGGUGGAUUAGUGGCGAACGGGUGAGUAACACGUGGGCAAUCUGCCCUUCACUCUGGGACAAGCCCUGGAAACGGGGUCUAAUACCGGAUAACACUCUGUCCCUCAUGGGGCGGGGUUAAAAGCUCCGGCGGUGAAGGAUGAGCCCGCGGCCUAUCAGCUUGUUGGUGGGGUAAUGGCCUACCAAGGCGACGACGGGUAGCCGGCCUGAGAGGGCGACCGGCCACACUGGGACUGAGACACGGCCCAGACUCCUACGGGAGGCAGCAGUGGGGAAUAUUGCACAAUGGGCGAAAGCCUGAUGCAGCGACGCCGCGUGAGGGAUGACGGCCUUCGGGUUGUAAACCUCUUUCAGCAGGGAAGAAGCGCAAGUGACGGUACCUGCAGAAGAAGCACCGGCUAACUACGUGCCAGCAGCCGCGGUAAUACGUAGGGUGCGAGCGUUGUCCGGAAUUAUUGGGCGUAAAGAGCUCGUAGGCGGCUUGUCACGUCGGAUGUGAAAGCUCGGGGCUUAACCCCGAGUCUGCAUUCGAUACGGGCUAGCUAGAGUGUGGUAGGGGAGAUCGGAAUUCCUGGUGUAGCGGUGAAAUGCGCAGAUAUCAGGAGGAACACCGGUGGCGAAGGCGGAUCUCUGGGCCAUUACUGACGCUGAGGAGCGAAAGCGUG
rnacentral:rRNA from 1 species